UACGAAGGGUGCAAACGUUUGCUCGGAAUUAUUGGGCGUAAAGCGCACGUAGGCGGCUUUGCAAGUCGGAUGUGAAAUCCCUCGGCUCAACCAAGGAAGUGCAUCCGAAACUGCAGAGCUUGAGUACUUAAGAGGAUCGCGGAAUUCCCGGUGUAGAGGUGAAAUUCGUAGAUAUCGGGAGGAACACCAGUGGCGAAGGCGGCGAUCUGGGAAGAUACUGACGCUGAGGUGCGAAAGCGUGGGGAGCAAACAGG
rnacentral:rRNA from 1 species